ACGGAACGCAACCUUAUCUCCCCCAGUACUCUCUCCUCUCCUCUCCACUCACUCAACCUCUCUCGACCCUCUCCCGGUCUCCCCUCCCCCGCCCCAUCCGCUGUGCGUGACCACAAGCUCCUGCCGCAACCGCGCGACUCUGCCCGCCGACCACCGCAUCCGUCGCAUGCAUCGGCGGUUGCCGCACGACGAAGGUCAUGGCUGGUCCCACGACGGCCUCGGCUGGAGGAGGACGAUAGGUCCAUAGUGACGGACGCUCAAGUAAGAGGAGCGGCCCAAUGGCGGCGGCCUCGAGCACGGGGAUAAGUGCAGGCUGGGGAUGCAGGAGAGGUGCAGCGCGGGGUUUGGAGCUCCCACGAGCUGGGUGUGGCGCAUCCGACGGCGACAGACACAGGGACGCGUUGAUCCGGGUGUGGGUGCUCAAUUCGGUCCCGUUCUGGCCGGAUCCGCGGCGGUGCUCAUCUCUGGCGAGGUGGCCUGUGACUCGCGGGACGACGGCGGCGCAAGACCACAGGAGGGGCUCAUCUCAUGGGACAGGGGCGCGAGGUCUUGUUGGCUUCGGUUGCUGGUGGCUUGACGCAGGGGUGGCCGGGGUCCGACGCCAUGGAGGCUCUUCGAGGACGAGGAAGUAGACAGCGACGACAACUUUGAGGCCGGCGGGGGCGCCGUCUCCGCGUUCGAUGGUCGGGGUCCAACGCGGCCGCCGUUGGCUCCAUCCCCUACAGUUAUCAUGCAGAUAAGAGAACCAAAAACUACCACAUUGAUAUCUGCUUCAGGAAAAAUGGUUUGCACUGGAGCAAAAAGUGAACAACAAUGUAAACUCGCAGCUAGAAAGGUCAAAUAUUUGACGAUGUUUUCUUCUCCCAACCUGGCAAGGAGUAAGAAGUCAGUUGGAGUGAGAAGUGAGACAAGUACCAUGAGCUCAAGUGAUUCAUUCACCAAGCUGGUAAACGCAUAAACUUCAAAAAAAUCAUCUCAAUAAGUUUUGGUUGGCUGAUAGCUUGCAAGAUCUUCAUAUUCUACAUAGAAGGUGCAGUGUGAUGUGAUGCAUAUGGAACUGGUAUUACUUUGCAGUAUGGAACUGGCGGUGGGUGUAUGAAAUGUGAUGGCAGUAACAUUAUACCUAAUUUCUUAUUAGUUCAUGAUAUGGCUGUUUGGAAUGUGAUACCUGGACGUGAGUGUCUCUGGCGUGGGAUCCUGGACGCCUCUGACAGCGGCUGGUGAAAGGGAUAGCCGGAUCCUGGACGUCUUCAGCGACGGGUCCUGAAAGGGACCGGCGCCGGAUCUUGGAAGCGUUCGGCGGAGGGUCCUCAACUGGACAUGCACCGGAUCAGUGGAGGCCGGAUCAGUGGAGACCAGCGGCGGAUCAGUGCCAGGGCGGUGGCGAAGGGAUGGAGCGGCGGCGGUGAAGGGAUGAAGAGCGGCAGCGGGCGAAUGAGGGCACAGACUCAGGCGUCUGUUUCUCGCUCGAGGGCACGAGACCUCGCUUGUAUGUGCGGGGGAUUGGUUUGCGAUUUUUUUUCCCUGGUUAAUUUUUGCCAGGUUUUUUUCGCUGGUUAAUUUUCGCCGGUUUGUUCGUGUUAGAUGGGUGCGAAGGGAGGUUAGGCGCGUGGGGGCGGAUGUGGGACUCGGCCUUGAGGGUUUUUCUUGAUUCAUCGCGGCUGAGCGGGAGGUGGGAGCAGGUACCAAAAAAGACCGGGUGAGGUGGGACGAAAAUUAAACCCGAAACGCGACCUACCAACUGAGAUAUUAGGAGUAGAGACUAAGGGAUAUUAAGGCCUCCUUUUAAUAGAGAACUGGAACAAAGCAUUAGCACAUAGUGAAUACAUGAACUCCU
rnacentral:rRNA from 1 species